AGAGUUUGAUCAUGGCUCAGAACGAACGCUGGCGGCAUGCCUAACACAUGCAAGUCGAACGGGAUCCAGACUUCGGUCUGGUGAGAGUGGCGGACGGGUGAGUAACGCGUGGGAACCUGCCCAAUGGUCUGGGAUAACCGCGGGAAACUGCGGCUAAUACCGGAUAAGCCCGAGAGGGGAAAGAUUUAUCGCCGAUGGAGGGGCCCGCGUCCGAUUAGGUAGUUGGUGAGGUAACGGCUCACCAAGCCUACGAUCGGUAGCUGGUCUGAGAGGAUGAUCAGCCACACUGGGACUGAGAUACGGCCCAGACUCCUACGGGAGGCAGCAGUGGGGAAUAUUGGACAAUGGGGGCAACCCUGAUCCAGCAAUGCCGCGUGAGUGAUGAAGGCCUUAGGGUUGUAAAGCUCUUUUGGCGGGGACGAUGAUGACGGUACCCGCAGAAUAAGCCCCGGCUAACUUCGUGCCAGCAGCCGCGGUAAUACGAAGGGGGCGAGCGUUGUUCGGAAUUACUGGGCGUAAAGGGCGCGUAGGCGGCCGAUCAAGUUAGAUGUGAAAGUCCUGGGCUUAACCUGGGGGACUGCAUUUGAUACUGAUUGGCUUGAAUUCGGGAGAGGAUAGCGGAAUUCCCAGUGUAGAGGUGAAAUUCGUAGAUAUUGGGAAGAACACCGGUGGCGAAGGCGGCUAUCUGGACCGACAUUGACGCUGAGGCGCGAAAGCGUGGGGAGCAAACAGGAUUAGAUACCCUAGUAGUCC
rnacentral:rRNA from 1 species